UGGAAGCUGCAAGGGGAGUACGUCCACUUGGAGAUUGUCGUCUUUGGAUUGUUCUGUGAGCCCUGAUCCUCAGAAAGAACUUUUCAUGCCUGUAUGGAACUUGGCUGGAUAAGAUGGUGGCAAGAGAGAACAGCGGAAGAUGGGAGGACAGAACCUCUACAGGCCACUCUCGGAGACUUUCGUCCCUACUUCCUUUUCUAAGGCUUGCUCUUUAUGUGGGAAGGGCUGCCUGGCAGAUACUGUUUUAUAACUGACCACGUCCUCUCCUCUGUAUCUGCAGCUGGAGCUGAGAUCCUCUACGCCUCUUUACCAACAUAUGAAUUUGUUCUGCAGCAUGGUGUGGUUGUGAGAAAACUCAGAGAAAUCCUUCACAAGGGUAAUGUCCUCAUGUGUGCAUCACUUAACAUCACACCUUGCACUGAAUCAAGUCUGGGAUGAUGAUUGAGUUGGAAGGGACCUUAAGUACCAUCUAGUUCCAACCCCCCUGAUGUGGAAAUGGUUGCCAAGCAAUGGGUGCCACCAUCAGGCACUAAAUCAGAUUGCCUAGGGUCCCAUUCAACCUGGCCUUGAAUGUCUCCAGGGAUGGGGCAUCUACAGCUUCUCUGGGCAACCUGUGCUAUGUCUGUGGUCCCUUCUGACCUGCUUCAAUAGCUUUGCAUCUUUUUCUGUUGAGGGUCCCAGACCUGGAUGCUGUACUCUAGAUGGGACCUUGCAAGGGGCAGAGUACAGGGGGAACCAUCAAUUCCUUUACCUGCUAGUUGUUUCUCUGUUGAUGCAGUUGAGUGUACAGUUGGCUUUCACAGAUGUACACUUAGUCCCCAGGGGUCUGGGCAAGGUUCUGCUAAGGUGCCAGUUCCUCCAGCAAGCACAUUAAGGUGCUGCUCGGCUGGCUGCUGCUAUUAUGGCCUUCUCAUGACAGCUGACAACUCUUCAGAUGUGGUAGAGUCUAUUUUGACCUUCUCUUUUGGGAAACUGAUUGCUAGUUUAGUUGUCCUUUUCUGCCCAUUUGAGAUGGUAAUGUGAGAAAUAAGAUCUGACAGCACAUUUUAAGCAUGAGCCCUGACAGAAAUUGGGCAUCUGCACAUCUUUGUGGAACAAGUCCAGCUGGGAGCAGGGAGGGGGGAAGUACUGCUGUGACACUGACCUGGCUCCUGGCACUGCUUUUCAGAUGGAAAUAUAUGGCACCCAAAAGUGAAGUCACCAAAGCUUUCUCGUAAUCCAGAUCUGAAGGGAAAACCUCAGGCCAAUCUUUGCUGGGAAGAGAGGUUCAUCAAAGGCAAAGAAAUAAAAUAUUAUUUUCCUCUUUCUCUGUAAGAAAACCUAUGUAAAAGGUAGUAUUGGGGACGUUUUGCUAAUUCUGGUCCCUGUGCAGUAUUGUGGUGGCUGCCUGGCUCCAGCUCCGAUUGUUCUGGAAGAAAAUCCUCUUGAGUAAAGCAGCAAAUGAUCCAUUUGCAGUGGAGAGUACUGGCUUGGCCAUGUCCAGCUGGGUCCUGGGCUGCAUGUGCAGAACUAUGCUUAAAAGGUAUUAAAAUACAUGAAGUAUUCACCUUUGUGCUAUGUUCUCCACUUAACUCCAGUGGCUGUUGCGGAGACUUGUAUGGUCACGAAGGCACAGGAAGGUAACAGGGAGAAGGUGCAUGUAUGUAUUUUUUCUUCUUUGAAUUUAAGGCUAACACUACAUGCAACAUGGAUUGACUAGGAAAGCCUAGUCAUAGUACUGCAAUAAUAUGAUAUCAUGCGAGUACAAGGUGUCAUCUGGUUUUAAGAAAUGUCACUUAGUUAAACUUCCGUCUACUGAUCUAAAUGCAAUUUCAUUUAUUUUCUUCCCUGAUCACUGCUGGCUGCUGUUGAAAUAAUCAAUCAUUGUUUUCCUCCUUUUGUCACUACGGCAGUAUCAGGCAUGAUGUUGCCCUGCUGGUUGGCCGCAUCCUGUUUAAGCACCAGGUGUUGUGCUUAUCCUAGCAGUUACGUGGCUGUCAGUAAACUCAGCUGAUAGCAUUUUUCCCAUCUGGUCCAAGCUGUGACUUUAGAUUUCUCUUCCUAUCUCUGUUUCUGUGCUAGAGGACAGAAACAGGAGAACCGUGGGCUGUGAGUUACAGAUGCAUUACUUUUGGGGUAAAUUUG